GAUGAACGCUGGCGGCGUGCCUAAUACAUGCAAGUCGAGCGAACGGACGAGAAGCUUGCUUCUCUGAUGUUAGCGGCGGACGGGUGAGUAACACGUGGAUAACCUACCUAUAAGACUGGGAUAACUUCGGGAAACCGGAGCUAAUACCGGAUAAUAUUUUGAACCGCAUGGUUCAAAAGUGAAAGACGGUUUUGCUGUCACUUAUAGAUGGAUCCGCGCUGCAUUAGCUAGUUGGUAAGGUAACGGCUUACCAAGGCAACGAUGCGUAGCCGACCUGAGAGGGUGAUCGGCCACACUGGAACUGAGACACGGUCCAGACUCCUACGGGAGGCAGCAGUAGGGAAUCUUCCGCAAUGGGCGAAAGCCUGACGGAGCAACGCCGCGUGAGUGAUGAAGGUCUUCGGAUCGUAAAACUCUGUUAUUAGGGAAGAACAAAUGUGUAAGUAACUGUGCACAUCUUGACGGUACCUAAUCAGAAAGCCACGGCUAACUACGUG
rnacentral:rRNA from 1 species